GUCCACGCCAUAAACGAUGAGGACUAGACGUUGGAAGGGUUAGCCUUUCAGUGUCGUAGCUAACGCGCUAAGUCCUCCGCCUGGGGAGUACUGCCGCAAGGUUGAAACUCAAAGGAAUUGACGGGGACCCCGCACAAGCGGUGGAGCAUGUGGUUUAAUUCGAUGCAACGCGAAGAACCUUACCUGGUCUUGACAUCCAUGGAACCCUGCAGAGAUGCGGGGGUGCCGUAAGGAACCAUGAGACAGGUGCUGCAUGGCUGUCGU
rnacentral:rRNA from 1 species